CAGUUAUUUAAUAAUGUAUGGUUCCUGUGAUUGUUUUCAUUAUCAGUCCUGUGUUAGAGUUUGGGGUCACAGUAAAAUAACUGAAUUUCACUAAGAAUGCUGUACUGAUAAAACCCUUGGAGAACUCAGAUCCAGAGUAUACCAAAACCACGCGGCAAAUAUAAUGCCAAAAUCAGUACCAGAUGUAGAUAAGGUUACAAUAUAAAUAUUAAUACACCUAAUACAAUAUAUAUGACUUUUUAUUCCAGCCACCGAUAUCUGAGCUCAACACAUGUAUAAAGGAUACGCCCAGUCUUAUCUCAAAAUUGAAACAG